AUUGAACGCUGGCGGCAGGCCUAACACAUGCGAGUCGAACGGGAACAGGAAGCAGCUUGCUGCUUUGCUGACGAGUGGCGGACGGGUGAGUAAUGUCUGGGAAACUGCCCGAUGGAGGGGGAUAACUACUGGAAACGGUAGCUAAUACCGCAUAACGUCGCAAGACCAAAGAGGGGGACCUUAGGGCCUCUUGCCAUCGGAGGUGCCCAGAUGGGAUUAGCUAGUAGGUGGGGUAACGGCUCACCUAGGCGACGAUCCCUAGCUGGUCUGAGAGGAUGACCAGCCACACUGGAACUGAGACACGGUCCAGACUCCUACGGGAGGCAGCAGUGGGGAAUAUUGCACAAUGGGCGCAAGCCUGAUGCAGCCAUGCCGCGUGUAUGAAGAAGGCCUUCGGGUUGUAAAGUACUUUCAGCGGGGAGGAAGGGAGUAAAGUUAAUACCUUUGCUCAUUGACGUUACCCGCAGAAGAAGCACCGGCUAACUCCGUG
rnacentral:rRNA from 1 species